CAGGGAGAGAACACCAAAUUCGUUCCGAUACCUGUGGAUUUUCUUCUCGUUUUGGCUUGGGUGCAGCUGGUGGAGUAACGAUCUACUAUACUGAUGUCAGUGCAUCUUUCCAGACUUUUCAUCAAAGAUCAAAUGUUCCCAGUACAAAAUGAAAACCAUGGCCUGUAUCUCUCUGAUGCAAACGCUACGAUGCCGUAGAACAGAAGAAAUGUUGGGCCAGGUAUCAGGACAAGCGACCUCCUUUUGGUUGUGAAGUGGCAUUGAACGAAGUGUUCAAGUGAGAUAUUACAACCUAGAUCGUGACAAGUGGAGUGAACCAGAUCAAGGUGCUGCUACACCUGAUCCCAGGAUCAGCUUCUGAUGAACCAGUCAUUGAGGUGCCCAUUCGGGGAGGCCCCCAGGACCUAGGAGGAGGAGGAGAGAGCUGCUUCCUAGCCUGCUGUGGAGUGUGAUGGCUGGCACGGUUGUCUUUAAGGUCAUGAAGCCUUGUACCCGUGAGCUCAGAAAAGAGCGCUGCUCCCUCAUACGGGAGGUCCUGGAGAGUGGGCUGCAUCUCCUGCGAUAAACCCAAGGAUUGUAGUCAAGAGCUGUGCCACAUCACCACUGCAGAAGCAACAACCCUGGCCACCAAG